UUACCGGCUUAAAUGGAGAAAUCUUGACAAGGUGCUGCAUGGUUGUCGUCAGCUCGUGCCGUGAGGUGUCGGGUUAAGUCCCAUAACGAGCGCAACCCUACUCUAGUUGCCAUCAGAUGGGACUCUAGGGAACUGCCUACGCAAUAGGAGGAAGGUGGGGAUGACGUCAAAUCAGCACGGCCCUUACGCCGGGCUACACACGUGCUACAAUGGGGUACAAGGGGCAACGCGAGUGAUGCAAUCUCUAACCAUCUCAGUUCGGAUCGAAGUCUGAAACUCGACUUCGUGAAGUUGGAUUCGCUAGUAAUCGCGAUCAGCAUGCGCGGUGAAUACGUUCCCGGGCCUUGUACACACCGCCCGUCAAACAAUGGAAGCUUGGGACCGAA
rnacentral:rRNA from 1 species